CCUGGGCGGCUGCAGAGGUUCCUUCGUGAGGACAUAUUCUACCCGGUAGUGCCACCUCCUUGUGGGCCAUAUAAAAAUGUCUCCCGUCUAUGGAUUUUUCACUUUCGUGCUUCUUAUCGUGACCUUCCUGGCGGGCGAAGGAGAUGCGUGCGACAUUGCUAAACAAACCAUGAACACAGUGUGUAGUAUCCUCGGGCGCGAAGACAAGGCUGCCCACAAUCCUCACCUCUGAGGAAAAUCUCAGCAGCGGCACCAGUCCAGCCGAGU